rnacentral:rRNA from 1 species
ACGGAAGGCAGCAGUCGGGAAUAUUGCGCAAUGGAGGAAACCCUGACGCAGUGACGCCGCGUAUAGGAAGAAGGUUUUCGGAUUGUAAACUAUUGUCGUUAGGGAAGAAAAAAGACAGUACCUAAGGAGGAAGCUCCGGCUAACUAUGUGCCAGCAGCCGCGGUAAUACAUAGGGAGCAAGCGUUAUCCGGAAUUAUUGGGUGUAAAGGGUGCGUAGACGGAGGAGCAAGUUAGUUGUGAAAUCCCUCGGCUUAACUGAGGAACUGCAACUAAAACUACUUCCCUUGAGUGUCGGAGAGGAAAGUGGAAUUCCUAGUGUAGCGGUGAAAUGCGUAGAUAUUAGGAGGAACACCAGUGGCGAAGGCGACUUUCUGGACGAUAACUGACGUUGAUGCACGAAAGUGUGGGGAGCAAACAGGAUUAGAUACCCUGGUA